rnacentral:rRNA from 1 species
ACGCUGGCGGCGUGCUAAUACAUGCAAGUCGAGCGAAUGGAUUAAGAGCUUGCUCUUAUGAAGUUAGCGGCGGACGGGUGAGUAACACGUGGGUAACCUGCCCAUAAGACUGGGAUAACUCCGGGAAACCGGGGCUAAUACCGGAUAACAUUUUGCACCGCAUGGUGCGAAAUUCAAAGGCGGCUUCGGCUGCUCACUUAUGGAUGGACCCUGCUGUCGCAUAUAGCUAGUUGGUGCAGGUAACGGCUCACUCAAGGCAACGAUGCGUAGCCGACCCUGAGAGGGUGGAUUCGGCCACACCCUGGGAUCUGAGACACUGGCCCAGACCUCCUUACGGGAGGUCAGUCAGUCAGGGAAUCUUCCGUCAAUGGACGAAAAGUCUGACGGAGCAAUCGCCGCGUGAGUGAUGAAGGCUUUCGGGUCGUAAAACUCUGUUGUUAGGGAAGAACAAGUGCUAGUUGAAUAAGCUGGCACCUUGACGGUACCUAACCAGAAAGCCACGGCUAACUACGUGCCAGCAGCCGCGGUAAUACGUAGGUGGUCAAGCGUUAUCCGGGAAUUAUUGGGCGUAAAGCGCGCGCAGGUGGUUUCUUAAGUCUGAUGUGAAAGCCCACGGCUCAACCCGUGGAGGGUCAUUGGAAACUGGGAGACUUGAGUGCAGAAGAGGAAAGUGGAAUUCCAUGUGUAGCGGUGAAAUGCGUAGAGAUAUGGAGGAACACCAGUGGCGAAGGCGACUUUCUGGUCUGUAACUGACACUGAGGCGCGAAAGCGUGUGUAGCAAACACGAUUAGAUACUCUGAUAGUCCACGCCGUAAACGAUGAGUGCUAAGUGUUAGAGGGUUUCCGCCCUCUUAGUGCUGAAGAUCUAACGCAUUCAAGCACUCCGCCUGGGGAGUACGGCCGGAAGGCUGAAACUCAAAGGAAUUGACGGGGGCCGCGCACAAGCGGUGGAGGCCAAAUGUGGUCUUAAUUCGAAUGCAACGCCGAAGAACCUUACCACGGUCUUGACAUCCUCUGACAACCCUAGAGAUAGGGCUUCGCCCUUCGGGGGCAGGAGUGACAGGCUGGUCAAGCUAUGGUUGCUCGUCAGCUCGUGUCGUGAGAUGUUGUAGGACUUAAGUCCCGUCAACGAGCGCAACCCGUUGUAUCUUAGUUGCCAUCAUUAAGUUGGGCACAUCUAAGGUGACUGCCGGUGACAAACCGGAGGAAGGUGGGGAUGACGUCAAAUCAUCAGUGGCACUCUCUUAUGGCUACCUGGGCUUGACGAUCGCCACGUGCUACAGAUGUGAACGGCUACUACAUAGAGCUGCAAGACCGCGAGGUGGAGCUAAUCUCAUAAAACCGUUCUCAGUUCGGAUUGUAGGCUGCAACUCGCCUACAUGAAGCUGGAAUCGCUAGUAAUCGCGGAUCAGCAUGCCGCGGUGAAUACGUUCCCGGGCCUUGUACACACCGCCCGUCACACCACGAGAGUUUGUAACACCCGAAGUCGGUGGGGUAACCUUUUGGAGCCAGCCGCCUAAG